UACGUAGGGGGCAAGCGUUGUCCGGAAUUAUUGGGCGUAAAGCGCACGUAGGCGGCAUAGCAAGUCGGAUGUGAAAUCCCUCGGCUUAACCAAGGAAGUGCAUCCGAAACUGCUGUGCUUGAGUACGAAAGAGGAUCGCGGAAUUCCCGGUGUAGAGGUGAAAUUCGUAGAUAUCGGGAGGAACACCAGUGGCGAAGGCGGCGAUCUGGGUCGAUACUGACGCUGAGGUGCGAAAGCGUGGGGAGCAAACAGG
rnacentral:rRNA from 1 species